UGGGGAAUUUUGGACAAUGGGCGAAAGCCUGAUCCAGCCAUGCCGCGUGAGUGAAGAAGGCCUUCGGGUUGUAAAGCUCUUUUAGUCGGAAAGAAAGAGUUGCAAUGAAUAAUUGUGAUUUAUGACGGUACCGACAGAAAAAGCACCGGCUAACUACGUGCCAGCAGCCGCGGUAAUACGUAGGGUGCGAGCGUUAAUCGGAAUUACUGGGCGUAAAGGGUGCGCAGGCGGUCUUGCAAGUCAGAUGUGAAAGCCCCGGGCGUAACCUUGGCAUUGCGUUUGACGCUACAGGACUAGUGAGCAGUAUAGGUGAGUGGAAUUCCAUGUGUAGCAGUGAAGUGCGUAGAGGUGUGGAAGAACACCGAUGGCGAAGGCAGCUCCCUGGGUUGACACUGACGCUCAUGCACGAAAGCGUGGGGAGCAA
rnacentral:rRNA from 1 species